rnacentral:rRNA from 1 species
UGGCCUUGACAUAGUAGAAACUUUCCAGAGAUGGAUUGGUGCCUUCGGGAAUCUACAUACAGGUGCUGCAUGGCUGUCGUCAGCUCGUGUCGUGAGAUGUUGGGUUAAGUCCCGCAACGAGCGCAACCCUUUUCCUUACUUGCCAGCAUUUCGGAUGGGAACUUUAAGGAUACUGCCAGUGACAAACUGGAGGAAGGCGGGGACGACGUCAAGUCAUCAUGGCCCUUACGGCCAGGG